AACGAACGCUGGCGGCAUGCCUAACACAUGCAAGUCGAACGAGACCUUCGGGUCUAGUGGCGCACGGGUGCGUAACGCGUGGGAACCUGCCCUUAGGUUCGGAAUAACUCCCCGAAAGGGGUGCUAAUACCGGAUAAUGUCUUCGGACCAAAGAUUUAUCGCCUUUGGAUGGGCCCGCGUUGGAUUAGCUAGUUGGUAGGGUAAAAGCCUACCAAGGCGACGAUCCAUAGCUGGUCUGAGAGGCUGAUCAGCCACACUGGGACUGAGACACGGCCCAGACUCCUACGGGAGGCAGCAGUGGGGAAUAUUGGACAAUGGGCGAAAUCCUGAUCCAGCACUGCCGCGUGAGUGAUGAAGGCCUUAGGGUUGUAAAGCUCUUUUACCCGGGAUGAUAAUGACAGUACCGGGAGAAUAAGCGCCGGCUAACUCCGUG
rnacentral:rRNA from 1 species